GGUAACCUGAAGAGCAGGCGAGAACGUGACCGUCACAAACGACCACCAGAUUCAUCAGAUCCAGCGCUUCACUGCACGUCUCACUCACUGCUGAUAGACUACGAGCCUGAAUACACUGAAUAUAGUCUGGUGAAGUCUGGGUUUCUGCAGGUUUUAUGAAAGUAAAUUUAAGGCUUUUUAAAGACCUUUUUAAGAACAGAUGAAGAAAAUUGAAGGACUGAAUUUAAUCCAUCAAUAUGGUCUCUCUUAAUGAAAGAGUUUAAAAAUACUUCUUCUAGCAGAUCUCCUUUACUUUUUAAUUAAUUUAAUCAAAAAAUAAAUAAAAAGAAAAUACCCUAACUAUAGUAUAGAAAUAACUUUUGUUCCUUUUGAUCAAACAUCUUUAAACAGAGGUAUUUCCUCCGUCUUUCGGUCUUGUUCUGCAGUGCUAAUGUCUGAAGAUGCAUUCUCUGGAGAAGCAGGAUGAGUCUUGUUUUAUGAGAAACAGAUCAAAAUGAAAAUAGUUUAGAAUUAAAACAACAAAUAUCUGCCAAUGAGCUCAGAAAAAUCAACUUAAUUGAAAGCAUAAAGUUUUAUUGCCCACUGACAGAUAUUUGUUCUGAUUUUAAACAUAAACUCAAUUUUGUUCUAUUUCUUAGAAGACAAGACUUGACAUCUUCAUCUUGUGUCUCCAGUACUUGUGUCUUGAUUUACGGAGGUUUACACACAAACACUGAGGAAGAGAAUCUUUUUUUUUUUUUUUUUGCAGUUCAUGCAACAUUUACUGCCAUGACUUUAGGAAUGUAAGACUUUCUGCUUUGAUGUAAGACUUUAUCAUUCAUUAAUUUGUGUUGGGGUGAAUAAAGACUUAAGACGCACAGAAAGCUGUAUGCUAUAUUCUGCAGUUAUGAUGACAGUAGUUACGCUGUUGUCACUCCGCAGAAAACAGGAAGAGCUUUAUUUGACCGCAGCAGGUACAACAGUCUGGACCGAGUACAGUCAGAUAUUUUGGGAUGUCCUUCCUGGCUAACAAUAGAGCUAAACUUAGAGGAAAAUGUGUUUGUUCAGACCAACAGUGUUCAGGUGAAGGUCCAUCUGUUUUUACGUAGAUGUUUUAAAUAGCACUACAUUAACACACUGCCCUAUUGUUCUUAGUUUCCUCGUGUGACUGUUCUUCAGAUAACUAUUGUUUCAGCUGAAACAUGAUUUCCAUGAGCCACGUAAGAGCUGAAGCAGAGAGCAGCACUUUGCUUGGAAGACAACGCUGGACAAAUCAUUUCAGCCCUCGUGCAGUUUCAGACUCACCGCAGAAACAGUAAAUGAGCCCCAGAGCGAAGCCGAGCGAGCAGCUGACGGCCGGCAGCAGAUCCGAUUCUCUCCUGAUCUCCAGAUCACAGACGGCUCUCGUGGUCUCCGUCGCUGAGAGAGAC